GAGUUUGAUCCUGGCUCAGGACGAACGCUGGCGGCGUGCUUAACACAUGCAAGUCGAACGGUAAGGCCCCAGCUUGCUGGGGUACACGAGUGGCGAACGGGUGAGUAACACGUGGGUGACCUGCCCCGCACUUCGGGAUAAGCCUGGGAAACUGGGUCUAAUACCGGAUAGGACCGCACCGUGAGGGUGUGGUGGAAAGUUUUUCGGUGUGGGAUGGGCCCGCGGCCUAUCAGCUUGUUGGUGGGGUAAUGGCCUACCAAGGCGGCGACGGGUAGCCGGCCUGAGAGGGUGGACGGCCACAUUGGGACUGAGACACGGCCCAGACUCCUACGGGAGGCAGCAGUGGGGAAUAUUGCACAAUGGGCGGAAGCCUGAUGCAGCGACGCCGCGUGGGGGAUGACGGCCUUCGGGUUGUAAACUCCUUUCACCAUCGACGAAGGUUUUCUGACGGUAGAUGGAGAAGAAGCACCGGCUAACUACGUGCCAGCAGCCGCGGUAAUACGUAGGGUGCGAGCGUUGUCCGGAAUUACUGGGCGUAAAGAGCUCGUAGGUGGUUUGUCGCGUCGUCUGUGAAAUUCCGGGGCUUAACUCCGGGCGUGCAGGCAAUACGGGCAUAACUUGGGUACUGUANGGGAGACUGGAAUUCCUGGUGUAGCGGUGAAAUGCGCAGAUACCAGGAGGAACACCGGUGGCGAAGGCGGGUCUCUGGGCAGUAACUGACGCUGAGGAGCGAAAGCAUGGGUAGCGAACAGGAUUAGAUACCCUGGUAGUCCAUGCCGUAAACGGUGGGCGCUAGGUGUAGGGGUCUUCCACGACUUCUGUGCCGUAGCUAACGCAUUAAGCGCCCCGCCUGGGGAGUACGGCCGCAAGGCUAAAACUCAAAGGAAUUGACGGGGGCCCGCACAAGCGGCGGAGCAUGUGGAUUAAUUCGAUGCAACGCGAAGAACCUUACCUGGGCUUGACAUAUACGGGACCGGGCCAGAGAUGGUCCUUCCCUUGUGGCUCGUAUACAGGUGGUGCAUGGUUGUCGUCAGCUCGUGUCGUGAGAUGUUGGGUUAAGUCCCGCAACGAGCGCAACCUUGUCUUAUGUUGCCAGCACGUAAUGGUGGGGACUCGUGAGAAACUGCCGGGGUCAACUCGGAGGAAGGUGGGGAUGACGUCAAAUCAUCAUGCCCCUUAUGUCCAGGGCUUCACACAUGCUACAAUGGUCGGUACAGUGGGUUGCGAUGCCGUGAGGUGGAGCUAAUCCCUGAAAGCCGGUCUCAGUUCGGAUCGGGGUCUGCAACUCGACCCCGUGAAGUCGGAGUCGCUAGUAAUCGCAGAUCAGCAACGCUGCGGUGAAUACGUUCNCCGGGCCUUGUACACACCGCCCGUC
rnacentral:rRNA from 1 species